CAAGGGGUAGUUUAUUUAAAAAUAUAAAUUUUGGAGGUUUAUGAAGGGGUAAUUCUUCCUCCUUGA
rnacentral:tRNA from 1 species